UGAUUCUGAAUUCCAUUUGGAGGUUGC
rnacentral:piRNA from 1 species